rnacentral:rRNA from 1 species
UACAUCGGUGACAGGUGGUGGCAUGGUUGUCGUCAGCUCGUGUCGUGAGAUGUUGGGUUAAGUCCCGCAACGAGCGCAACCCCUAUUGUUAGUUGCCAUCAUUCAGUUGGGCACUCUAGCGAGACUGCCGGUAAUAAACCGGAGGAAGGUGGGGAUGACGUCAAAUCAUCAUGCCCCUUAUGACCUGGGCUACACACGUGCUACAAUGGUUGGUACAACGAGUUGCGAGUCGGUGACGGCGAGCUAAUCUCUUAAAGCCAAUCUCAGUUCGGAUUGUAGGCUGCAACUCGCCUACAUGAAGUCGGAAUCGCUAGUAAUCGCGGAUCAGCACGCCGCGGUGAAUACGUUCCCGGGCCUU